rnacentral:rRNA from 1 species
UACGUAGGUGGCAAGCGUUGUCCGGAUUUAUUGGGUUUAAAGGGUGCGUAGGCGGCCCUGUAAGUCAGUGCUGAAAUAUCCCAGCUUAACUGGGAGGGUGGCAUUGAUACUGCGGGGCUAGAGUACAGAUGAGGUAGGCGGAAUUGACGGUGUAGCGGUGAAAUGCUUAGAUAUCGUCAAGAACACCUAUAGCGAAGGCAGCUUACUAGGCUGUAACUGACGCUGAUGCACGAAAGUGUGGGGAUCAAACAGG